rnacentral:rRNA from 1 species
UACGGAGGGUGCAAGCGUUAUCCGGAUUCACUGGGUUUAAAGGGUGCGUAGGUGGGUUGGUAAGUCAGUGGUGAAAUCCCCGAGCUUAACUUGGGAACUGCCAUUGAUACUAUCAGUCUUGAAUACCGUGGAGGUCAGUGGAAUAUGUCAUGUAGCGGUGAAAUGCUUAGAUAUGACAUAGAACACUAAUUGCGAAGGCAGCUGGCUACACGAAUAUUGACACUGAGGCACGAAAGCGUGGGGAUCAAACAGG